UGAAGAUGAUAGCCAGAGAGAAGAGGAGAGAGCAGAACCUCUCACAGUGCCACAGGAAAACAAUGAAGGUGGCAGCCAAAGACAAGAACAAAGAGCAGAAUCUUUCACAAUGGUGCAGGACAAUGUCCCUCAAGAAGUUGAUGAUGUCCACUCCUCCCAUGGACUAACAGAAGAGCAAAGCAUCAUCUCGAUUCUCUCCUUUAGAUUGAGACACAACACAACAGGUGUAUUAAUGGAAGACCUGCUGAAACUGCUCAAAUUGCAUUCUGCUCGGACUAGUGCAGUUCCAACAAGCAAGUAUUUUCUGGAGAAACCAUUAGCUGGUAUUACACAUCAGUUUGAACGACACCAUUACUGCAGAGUUUGUACUAAGUACAUUGGUUCUUCACAAUCUCUGGAAGAAACACUCAAAUGUGUGUCAUGUUCCUCAUUCAUGACAGUGAAAGCCAGUUUACAGGAAAGACAUUUCUUUAUUCACAUACCAUUGAAGGAUCAGCUGAAAGACAUUCUUGAGAACCAGGGUAUGCAUGAUCUAUGUUUUUGUGCUGAUGCCGGUACAAAGCAUGUAAUAAAUGACAUAUGUGAUGGCACCUUAUAUCAGACUUUGAAAAAUAACAGUAAAGAGGAUUUUCUGUCCCUUACAUUCAAUUGUGAUGGUGUACCAGUUUUUCAGUCCUCCAAAUUUAGUAUUUGGCCAAUAUUAUGCUGUGUUAAUGAGAUACCACCUGAGAGUAGGGAUAAACAUAUACUUUUAUGUGGUUUGUGGUUUGGAUCCAAGAAGCCAGACAUGUCCUGCUUCUUUAAACCAUUUGUUGAGGAGUGUGCCAAUCUUUCUCAAGCUGGUUUUGAGUGGCAGCAUCCUAGUGACCAGUCAUUGAGACACAUAAAAGUGCACACAUUGUGCUGUGUGUGUGAUGCAGUUGCAAGGCCAUUACUACAGA